UACGAAGGGGGCUAGCGUUGCUCGGAAUUACUGGGCGUAAAGCGCACGUAGGCGGCUUUCUAAGUCGGGGGUGAAAUCCUGGAGCUCAACUCCAGAACUGCCUUCGAUACUGGAAAGCUCGAGUCCGGGAGAGGUGAGUGGAACUGCGAGUGUAGAGGUGAAAUUCGUAGAUAUUCGCAAGAACACCAGUGGCGAAGGCGGUUCUCUGGGCCUGUACUGACGCUGAGGAGCG
rnacentral:rRNA from 1 species